UACGUAGGGUGCAAGCGUUGUCCGGAACUAUUGGGCGUAAAGAGCUCGUAGGCGGUUUGUCACGUCGGCUGUGAAACCCUGGGGCUCAACCCCGGGCCUGCAGCCGAUACGGGCUGGCUAGAAUUCGGUAGGGGAGUCUGGAAUUCCUGGUGUAGCGGUGAAAUGCGCAGAUAUCAGGAGGAACACCGGUGGCGAAGGCGGGACUCUGGGCCGAUAUUGACGCUGAGGAGCGAAAGCGUGGGGAGCGAACAGG
rnacentral:rRNA from 1 species